AUGAACGCUAGCGGCAGGCUUAAUACAUGGCAAGUUGAGGGGCAGCAUGAUAUACGCGAGUAUAUUGAUGGCGACCGGGCGGACGGGUGAGUAAUAGGUAGGAGACCUACCUCAUACAGGGGGAUAGCAUAGAGAAAUCUGUGGUAAUACCCCAUGAGGUUAUAUGAAUAGAGGCAUAUAAUCAAAGCAUAAGCGAUUAUGCGGUAUGAGAGGGGCCUACUGACCAUUAGCUAGUUGGUGAGGUAAGGGCUCACCAAGGCGAAGAUGGUUAGGGGUUUUGAGAGAGAGACCCCCCACAUUGGAACUGAGAGACGGUCCAGACUCCUACGGGAGGCAGCAGUAGGGAAUAUUGGGCAAUGGGCGAAAGCCUGACCCAGCCAUGCCGCGUGAAGGAAGACGGCCUUAUGGGUUGUAAACUUCUUUACUACGCGAAUAGAGGUUAGUACGAGAUACUAAUAGGAAGGUAGUGUAGUAAAAAGCACCGGCUAACUCCGUG
rnacentral:rRNA from 1 species